rnacentral:lncRNA from 1 species
GGCUGCAGUGCUUUACAGGACUUGUGAUGUAGAUCGUCGUCAUUUUUGUUUCACAAACAAGGAAGGAGAAUCUCAGAGAUUCCGUAAACUCCAUAAAGCGGUGAUUCAUGACAGAAGCAGGGACGCAACUUCGACCAGUUGUGCUGUGAUUUAGAAUUCUUAGCUGGAGCUGCCCCACCCACCACGACAAUCUGAGACUUGGAAUCUGAACCUGGAGUUGGAAGCAGAACUUUAGAUCAGUGUGAUGCUCCUCCUGCACAGAGGCUUCUUGUGGUAGACGUCAGUCAACACUGAAACCCACAGCUCAUCAACACUCAGAGAAAAGGAGACCUUGAGACCCUGAAUCCUACGUGACAUGUUUAUAUUAUAUCCCUCAUUUCGAAGCUAACGUGUCUACAUAGAAGAGGAGGCAGAAAGAUUGUAAGAAUCAGAAGCAAUGGAUGGUUUCAAAGAAAGAAUGUCUUCCAGACAUAGCAGAGCAGAUGCACGUAUGACCUCACAGAGACUGUGGUAGCAUGCACAAGACCCGCACAAACUCAAGCUAGACAUAAUCUCGGCACACAGGAGGUGUGAAGGAUCAAACCCAGGACCGUGUUCAGGCUAAGCAAGCAUCCAACCACUGCGCUACAUCAGAAGCCCUUUUUUUGUGACUGGCUCUCUCUAUGUAAAGCUGACCUUGAACUUCCUCUGUACUCCACAUUGACCUGGAAACUGUCCUCUCUCUACCUACAUAGUGCUUGGAUUAUAGCUGUGACCACCUCAGGUGAACAUGCUUUCAUUUCUUCUGAUACUUUUACAUGUUAUUAUCAAGAUGGCCUAACUCUAAUUUUCCAUUUCUGUAGGGGAAAAUGUCUAUAAACAUUUCAGCUCAAUAAAUAGUUGAUUGUGGUGGAAA